GCUAGUUGAGUCAAUACGAUUGGACCCAUUUCGGAUGAUUCCCCGGAUUUGCCUGUGAAUGCUGAGAUGCAGGGAGUUUUCUCCCUCUUUAUUUCGUGUAAAUUUCUGCUACUUUCCUCCCUCUUUAUUUCGUGUUUCUUUGAUUGUAUGGAACGGUGUAAAAAUUGAUCUUUUCGUGUUCAAGUGGUGGUGGUGGAAUUGUACACGUAAAUUGGAGUUAAUUUGGUGGUGUGGAGGUCGGAGGCUUUGGAGUUUAGUGUGAGAUGCUUUUUCUUGGAAGUCUGGGGAAGGCAAUCGUUUGUCGUGGUGCGGUUGUGGGCACCGUUGUUGCUCCCAAGUUGAGCCUUGACGGUCUUCUUCUAACCCAUCCUCUAAUUUUUGCGGUUUAAGAUUUCUCUAGAAGCUCUUUUCCAUCCCCCCUCUCUUUCCACAAUUUCUUUUGCAGCCCUUUUUGAGUUUUUGUUAAUCCGAGCAUAAUGUGUAAGUUUUUGUUUUUUGUCUUUCCCCACUAGCAGUGCAUAAUGCAUAUAAGGAGGAGAAGGGAGUCUUGCUUGAGCGUAUAUGAUUAGCUCGAUUGGUUAUUAGUUCUAAAGCUCUCCACCAGGUUAGCAUGUUAUUUUUGUUUUCUUAAGAUUUUUUUUUUUUUUUUACAAAUUUUGUUGCUAGGCGCAUGAUAGCAUGUAAUUUUUUUCAAUAACAAUUUGAAAAACAUCCGUCAAGGGUAUUACAUAUGCUUAAAUAUUAGAUAUCAUUUACGAAUGUUUGGAUAUCAAAAGCACUCAAGAUUCAAAGAUAAUAUACUAAAAUUUCAUGUUACUCUUUCUUUUUGAGCCCUUUAGAGUUUUUGCCAUUUCGAGUUUAAAGUGCAAUUCAGCCAAUAUUUUCUUACAAUUUAUUUUUGUAAUUGGGAGUUCUUGAGCAAGUGAUAACUUUAGCGGUCAAACAUGUAAGGUAUCAUUUGGAUUGUCACUUUUCAAAAAAUUUUUUUAAAAAAAUAUUUCAUCUACACAUUUUCUAACGAGUACUUUGUUAUCGCAGAUGCAUUACAUCUCUACAAUAAUUUUUUUAUAAAAAUUCCAAAGAGUUGUAAUCCAAACAAACUCUAAAUAUUUCUUGUGCGAUCUCAAAGAAGCCUUUUUUUCAUCUUUUAUUUAUUAAAUAAUUAAUCCCUACCUCAAGUUACGAAGAAUGUUCCAAAAAUGUUGAGCGAAAACGAAGGAAUUCAACUGGCAAAAAAAACGAAAGGUCACGGUUGUGGAGAGUGGGAUUUGAACCCACGCCCUUUCGGACCAGAACCUUAAUCUGGCGCCUUAGACCAACUCGGCCAUCUCCACUUUGUUGAUUCUGCAUUUGUUUAAACUGAAAUUUAAUAUCAAUUAUUUAUUUGUGUUUUUGAAGAAUACAGCAUUUUUGGGCUGUCUUUAAAAAGUUACACGCAUAUGCUUACUCAGACAUUAUUUUGACUUGUUUUUAUAGAUUCAGGUACCAUCCCGCUUUCAAAAAACUCAACUUUCUUUUUGUUGAGUUUGGUCAAUCAAUUUCGGCAGCGGGGUGACGGCAAAUUGUGCGUACCAGUUCUGAGAAGUUCUCUUUGGUUUCUGUCCAAACCAAGGCCAGAAAAAAUUGAAAAAAAAAAAUGGAAGAUGAAAGAAAGAUCAUAUAGAAAUGGAUUAAUUUUCUGUACACUGAUAACGUAUAUAUUGUCAU
rnacentral:lncRNA from 1 species